rnacentral:rRNA from 1 species
AUGGAGGAGCCGAUGUCGAGGCUCACCCACGACCUAAUCGCAGAGAUCCUCUCUCGCGUGCCCUACAAAUCGCUCUGCAUCUGCAAGUGCGUCUGCCCGACAUGGCGCGGCAUCAUCGCCGACCCCGCCAACCGGAAGAAGAUGGCGCAGACCCUGGCCGGAUUCUUCUACCGCAUCACGGCCGACUCCGCCGACCCCCGCGGCUUCGUCGUCAACUACGCCGACCUGUCCGCCUUCCCUUGGGCGAGCGUCGCCGAGACCUACCCGCUCCUGCCGCUGCCGUCCGACAGCACGGACUGCUUCGUCUCCCUCGAGGAUUCAUGCGAUGGAUUGUUUCUCACAAGCAUCCGCACGGGCACCCCUGCUGCUGCUGGAACAUCUCGCUACAUGGUCUCCAAUCCAGCUACCGGUGAGUAUAUUGUGCUGCCUCACUCUGGCUACGCCGGCGACUGCUGUCGCGCUUACCUGGGUUUUGACAGUGGCGUGUCCAUUCAAGAGUUUCAUCUGUUCGAAUUUAUGCUGGAACAAUCCCAAUCCCUGGUUGUGAGAGGAGUGAACAUUUACUCCUCAAAAUCUGGUGUGUGGGUAUCAAUGAAAAGCCAAUGGGACAGCGAAGUUAGCCUGUGCUGGAGUCAACCAGGCGUUUUCCACAAGGGGUGUCUGCACUUGCUCAUACAUCAGCGUGGGCUGGCAAUAGUUGAUGCACAAGGGCUAAGAUGGAGAAUCAUUCCACUGCCAAUAUCAGUUGAUCCGAGUUUCGCGGGUUUCAUCGGAAAGUCCGCAGGACAGCUAUUUUAUAUUGACUCCGACGAUACUGAAGGACAUGAUGCAAACUCAUUUUCGACUAUAUCAGUUUACGUUCUUGGUGCUGACAUCUAUCAGUGGGAUGGGACUCACCUGGAUGACAAAUGCAUGCACUGGAAAUUGUUGCGCAAGCUUUCAAAUGUAGCUCCAAAUGUGUUGUUUCAGCUCGGCUUCGACCUUGAAGUCAUUGGAGUACAUCCACAUGCCAACAUAAUCUUCUUUAUAGCUCAUUGGAACAAUGAACUGAUUGCAUACGAUCUGGAUCGUCAUGAGAGCACAGUUGUAUAUUGCGUCGAGCCUAACUACCAGAAGUUUAGGCCUUUUUUCUCUUAUGUGCCCUUGUUUUCCCGCCUACCACUGGAUGGAGGAAUGCGGUUGGCAACUCCAAAUUGA